UGUCUUGAUAAUAGAAUGUUGUAUGUUCAUUGUAUGGUUCAGUAUUUUCAGUCAUGUUUAAUAGGUUGUUUCUCAUGAAAAAUUCUAUUUCUGUGGUUAUAUGGUCUUCUACUUUCAUUAAGUUUAAACCUGGAAAUGUUGUUGGUUUGUUCAAGGUUAUACUGGAUAUUAUGAGCUUAGUUAUGUGUUCUAUGUAUACUGAGCUUUGUUCUUGAUUAAAGUUGCUAGUUGUGAUAAUCUCAAGAUUUUAAUAUUGUUCUCUAACCUCUGUCUUGAGUUAUGCAAUUCAUCUUGUCUCGAACUAUGGUAAAAUGUUUUUCCGACUAUAACUGUUUUUUGAUGGUUCUUAGUUCUUUAAAACCGCAUCAGGAUGGUUUGUUUGACCGUGUCUUCAUGAUCUUGAAUGUUUUUACAGCCUUGUAUCUUUUCUCGUGUGUGAGAUGUUUUUUUAUUGUAAAGUCAUGUGACAUUAUUUCUAAAGAGUUGGUUUUGGCUGUUAUGUGUAUGUGUCUGAUUUGGAUCAUGUGAUCCUCAGUUAAAUCAGGUUUGUUGUUGGGUCUUGUGAUUCAAUCGUAAUGGUGUAGAUGUUUUCUUUGUUCUGAAUCGUGUGAUUCAACUUUGUUGUUUGGACCGUUGUAGUGUUUUCUGAAUAUAGUCCGUAUGUCUUAUUGUUUUAGUGUGGUAUGAUUAGUCGAACCUUGUGGUUUGAGUGUUCUUUAAUCUGUUGAUCUGUCAAGAUUGUUCUUGAUGUCUAUGUCUGCCUUGCUUGAGGUCUAUAUGUUGAGAAUCUUUGUCUUGAAUGCUGUUAAAAUGUCUUUGGUUUGCAGUCACUAUGUCUGCUUGUCUAUAGUUUUGUUUGUAUGGUUAGUUGAGCUGUGUGGUUCAUGUUUAACCAAAGUUUUGACAAGAUUAUUUUGUAUAUGUGACAGCCUUGUAUGUUUUCUCUUGUGAGAAAUAUUGUUCUGGUUGCAAAUUGUAUAACUUUGUGAUUAAUCAGGAUUUGUAUGGCUGUGUCUUAUAGUCUUGUGUAUGUCUUGAUAUUCUCAGUCUUGUUACUUGUAUGUAUGUGAUGUUAGCCUUGUAUAUUUCUCUUAUGUAAGAGAUAUUUUUUGUUGGUUAUAAAAGCAUGUGACUGUGCAUUUUGCCAGAGUUUGUGUAGGCUAUCAUUGUUGUCUAGUGUUCUUAGUUAGAACUGUUUCUCUGUCUUGUUGACUGUUUUUUAUAGAGAAUUCUUUGAUUUGUUGUUAGUGUUUGUGUUUUCUUCAAAGGAUCUCUUGUCUCGUAUUGUAAUUGUCUGGAUUCCUUGUAUAUCUGAGUUGAAAUAUUGUUUCUUGAAAUUCUAUUUUCUUGGUUUAUUUCUCUAGGUUGUUGUGAAUAUGACUGUUACAGGGUGGAUCAGUUAGUAUUCUGUGUUAUAUAGUUCUUUGAUAAAAACUUGCUGAUAACUUUGUUUUACCUGUUAAAGCUUAGUAAAAAUAUCAUAUCAAUUUGUAUGUAUCCUAAUUUCAUGAGAGGUCUUCUCACUUUGAAAUAAAUAUGCAUAUUCUGUGAAAAGGUUUUUUGCUAGUAUUAUUGAACUUGAAAAGGUUCAUAUAGAUGUUCAGGUUGCGUAGAAAGUGAGUGUUAACUGAUGAAAGGAAGUUGGUAUUUUUAGACGUGUUUGCCACCUGGAUGAAGGGGGCAUGUUAAAAAUGUUGUAAAUGAUAUUUUCAGGCUGUCAUUCAGGUUGCAAAAUGGGUAUUAUUAACAUGUAUAGUAUAUGAAUGUUGGGUAUGUUUGAUUUAUUUAGACCCAAUUGAAUGAAGGGGGAAUGUUGAAAUGAUAUGUUUAUGGGCUCUCAUUCUAUUGGGUUCAGCCAUAUAUUUUGGGCCUCUUGUUACUAAUUUGUUUCAUAUUGCUAGUUUGUUGCAACAGUUUUUGAUGUGCUGGAUAUUUUGGAGGGUGUAAAGUGGAAGUAUCAGGGGUUGAAAUGGGCAUCUUCCAAUUCUUAUGGUUCUUUGUGUAACCUUUCAAGUGCAGCCAUAUAUAAGAUCCAUAUGAUGAGUUGAUCUCUUUCAAGUUUGGUUGAAGCUACUGAAUCGUUUUGGAGUCACUGUGCAUCAGAGUUUCUACAAGUCUUUCAGGAGAUUAGUUCUUUCUACUCUGUUAUUUAUUUGUAUCCUUUGUAUUGUAGUUGUUGUUGUUAGAUCUUUGAUAGAUCUGGUGAUCGAUUGUGAUCAUUGUUCCUGAACAUCUGAUUGUUUGUAUCAGAUGUUUAUUGUUCUGUAUUCUGUUAACAGAUCUUACUAUUUGUAAGAUCUAGGGUUUUGGGGGGUGUUUUUCGGUUUGGGUAAAUAAUAAAGUUUUGUCACCGUUUUUGUUGCU